rnacentral:rRNA from 1 species
UACAGAGGGGGCAAGCGUUAUUCGGAAUUAUUGGGCGUAAAGGGCGCGUAGGCGGCCCAUCAAGUGACGGGUGAAAUCCCUCGGCUUAACCGAGGAACGGCCUGUCAAACUGGAGGGCUUGAGACCAGGAGAGGUGAGUGGAAUUCCCAGUGUAGCGGUGAAAUGCGUAGAUAUUGGGAGGAACACCAGUGGCGAAGGCGGCUCACUGGACUGGUACUGACGCUGAGGCGCGAAAGCGUGGGGAGCAAACAGG